rnacentral:sRNA from 12 species
CUUGGAGUUUAUCUUUCCAUGAGGAAGAAAGAUAAAGAAAAGGCUACACGUCAAUUUAUUAGCGCGCUAUUAAGGUUUAUUUUAAGCCAUAAAAUUCAUUUUCAAUAAUUGGUAGUGAAAUACGAAGAUUAAAGAUUAGGUGGCAAUUGAUAAAUUGACUAAUUGGU